rnacentral:rRNA from 1 species
GGUUGGGAGGUCGGGCAGUGAAUACUACCCUAAACUCGUAAUGAUCCCCUUCCGUAGGGGUAACCUGCGGAAGGAUCAUUACCGAGUUAGGGUAGUAUUCACUGCCCGACCUCCCAACCCUGUGUCUACCACACUUUGUCGUUGCUUCGGCGGACCGGUUGACCAACUGGUCAUGACCGCCGGGGGCUGGCUUUGUCCCCCCUGGAGAGCGUCCGCCGAUGGCCCAACCACAAAACUCUUGUACCGAAACGUGUCGUCUGAAUUAUGUUUGAGAAAUCAAAAACAAAACUUUCAACAACGGAUCUCUUGGUUCUGGCAUCGAUGAAGAACGCAGCGAAAUGCGAUAAGUAAUGCGAAUUGCAGAAUUUCCGUGAGUCAUCGAAUCUUUGAACGCACAUUGCGCCCAUUGGUAUUCCGAUGGGCAUGCCUGUUCGAGCGUCAUUAUCCUCCCUCAAACCUCGUGUUUGGUGUUGGACCGCGUUGGCCGAGCGACCAACUGGUCUCAAAGACAAUGACGGCGUCCGUGGGACCCUCGGUGCAACGAGCUUCUAAGGAGCACGCGUCGAGUUUCAAGGACCCUCCGGGCCGGUCUUAACCUCUAUCUUCUCAGGUUGACCUCGGAUCAGGUAGGAAUACCCGCUGAACUUAAGCAUAUCAAAAAGCGCGGG